AAAAUUACACAAUGGAGGCUUUUAUAUAGGCACUCAAACAAAAACAAUCCUAAUUGGAAAAUAACAUAGAAUCCUAUAAAUACUACCUUUUCCUAACAUAGCGUAAACAUAAACUAGAAAUAGGAUAAACUUAAACUAAAAAGGAAACCUAGAACAAAUAGGAAACUUAAAAGAAAGUCAACUAAAGCCACCAAUCCCCUUACUUUAUUCCACACGCCACCCUUGAUGAAUAGAUGGGAU
rnacentral:misc_RNA from 1 species